AACGAACGCUGGCGGCAGGCUUAACACAUGCAAGUCGAACGCACCUUUCGGGGUGAGUGGCAGACGGGUGAGUAACGCGUGGGAAUCUACCCUUCUCUACGGGAUAGCUCCGGGAAACGGGAAAUAAUACCGUAUACGUCCUGAGGGAGAAAGAUUUAUCGGGGCAGGCUGAGCCCGCGUUGGAUUAGCUAGUUGGUGGGGUAAAGGCCUACCAAGGCGACGAUCCAUAGCUUGUCUAAGAGGAUGAUCAGCCACAUUGGGAGUGAGACACGGCCCAAACUCUUACGCGAGGCAGCAGUGGGUAAUAUUGGACAAUGGGCGCAAGCCUGAUCCAGCCAUGCCGCGUGAGUGAUGAAGGCCCUAGGGUUGUAAAGCUCUUUUAGUGGGGACGAUAAUGACGGUACCCAAAGAAGAAGCCCCGGCUAACUUCGUG
rnacentral:rRNA from 1 species